GAUCGUAAACCCCUUUUGUCAAGGAAGAAGCUCUGACGGUACUUGACGAAUAAGCCUCGGCUAACUCCGUGCCAGCAGCCGCGGUAAUACGGAGGAGGCAAGCGUUAUCCGGAAUGAUUGGGCGUAAAGCGUCUGUAGGUGGCCAGCUAAGUCUGCUGUUAAAGAUCACAGCUCAACUGUGGGAAGGCAGUGGAAACUGGCAAGCUAGAGGUUGGUAGGGGUAAAGGGAAUUCCCGGUGUAGCGGUGAAAUGCGUAGAUAUCGGGAAGAACACCGGUGGCGAAAGCGCUUUACUGGGCCAGACCUGACACUGAAGGACGAAAGCUAGGGGAGCGAAAGGGAUUAGAUACCCCUGUAGUCA
rnacentral:rRNA from 1 species